rnacentral:tRNA from 1 species
UCCCUGGUGGUCAAGUGGUUAAGACUUCACACUUCAGCUGCAAGGGGUGCAGGUUUGAUCCCUGGUUGGGGAA